CGGGAAGUAGCUCAGCUUGGUAGAGCACUUGGUUUGGGACCAAGGGGUCGCAGGUUCAAAUCCUGUCUUCCCGAUAG
rnacentral:tRNA from 1 species